GCAUGCGUAGAGCGUGAGAUAAGUCGCGGCCGCGAGUAGGGUGGGUGUAGUAGGAGUGGUGGCGCGAGCUUUGGCACUGAGGAGCGUCAUCAAUGCGCGUGGUGGGGAUGGGCUGAUGUUUGGAUUUGGUGAUCUUAAUGAGCUUUUCCAACCUGAAUGAUGCUAUGACCGAGCCGCCACGUGGUCACCAGUUUUACUUCAGGUAUUUAAGCAGGCAGCAGUUAUUAAACGUCACGUUAGCGUGGAGAGGGAGCUUUCUGCUUUAUGUAAAGUGGGUGAAGUGGUUUUUCAGUUUACGCUGCGUGAUGGGCCUUUCUAGAGCUUCCAGAGAGAACUGUGUUGAAAGAGCGAAGGCUCAGUACCUGCCCCACUUCAGAUCUUCUACGUGACCAGCUGGAAAUUUCAUGAAUCACAGGUAAUGUGAAGCUCAACUGUUCUCAAUUUGAGGAUGUGUUUUAUGUUACUUAGGCUUUAAGCAAAUUUUAUAAAAUGUUUUAAUUUUAGAAGCGAUCCUUGUAUGUUUUUUCCCCUCUCUUCUUCUUAGGUGAGACCUGCACAGAGAGCUUCUGCAACAGUUUCAUUUGGAGAUCUGGCAAAAAUAGAGGAACUUGUUAGAAGAGGAGCAAAAUAGUCCUUCAUCAGUACUAAAAGCUAUCUUGAAGCUCUUAUUAAACUGCCAGUGCAGAUAGUCUCCACUUCUACUAUUUUGUUACAACACUUUGAAACUAUAAUCUGCACACAGCAAGGAAUGUGAAUGCCUGUGCUACAUCAGUUGUGUAAAAUAGCAUUCAUUUCUUUUUCUAGAGAAGUACUGUUAGCAGUAUUCUAAGUAGUACAUGCUCUCCCAGUUUGAUUAAAGUGCUAUUCUCAAAUGUAAAGCCUCUUUCAGUGUUUCAGUAGGACAGACUGCUCCAGGUAUGAUUUGCAAGUCUUGAACAUGCAUCACCCUGUAUUUUCAAAGUAUUCCUGAGGGAUGGUAGGUCAUAAUAAACAACACUACUUGCUGACAAAUAAAUUCAAGUCAUACUAUAAGAGAAUAUUGUUGAAUACACAGUUCUGACCGACUUAAUAUGGUUUCUGUCUGUUGGAAAUAAUGGUUAAAAAGAUACGGUCAGUUAACAUCUGAAAGUUGAAUGUUUGACUUGUGUAAAAGGAAGUGAUUAAAUAAGUCCUGUAGAAAUAUAUUUAGUUCAUACUUCAUACCUGCAACAGACAAAUUCAAUUCUCCUUCCGCUUGCAAAUACAAAAAUAAUUGUUUCUGAACGUGAAGUAGGAUAGGGUAGCCACAGAGAAGGCUGAGGCUUCAUUCCACCUUUAACAGAAUGUGUCAUGAUUUGACUGAAGUUUACUGAAAGAAGUAGCAAGCAGAAAAGUCAGCUAGCACACAAAUAGACUUGUGCCCUUCAAACUAAUGAGCUUACCAGUGGCAUUCUCUGGAAUUGGUGCUCUUUUGGAAUUGCGAGGAACUUUUAUACCAGUUGUAUGUUGUUGUGCUUAAAGCUGUUGUAUUAACAGAAGUGUAAGAGAAAGCUUCUCUUGGCCUGCCAUGAGGACAUUAUCCAGCAGGUGGAGUUUGACAGGAUGGUGUGCACAGGCCAAGUAGACAAGCAGUGUUUCUAUGGAACUGAUUUUCUGACCAGGCUGUGUCAUGGAAAGGAAAUGUAACUUGAGGAAGUACAGCUGUGGUGGAGGAACACGUGUGCUAGGCCCUAAGACCUGACUCUUGUAACAAGAACUAGAACAACAAAGACAAGAGAAGGAAAUUAAGGAAAGAAGGAUGACUCACAACUUGUAUAUUGAAGAUCACAUUCAGAAAUGGUGACAAGGAAGCUAUGAACAAAUCAAGAUUGAAAAAAAAGAAAAGAAAAAACAGCAUUUAUGCCAGGAAAACUCAAUUGUUUGAGUGCUCAUGGAAAAGAAAUGCAAGAGCUGCCUUGGUAUCACUAAAGCAAGUUCACUGAAAAAUAGGACACUUUGAGAAGGACUCAGAAACAGCAUUUGGAAUGGAGAACUCAAACUGCACUGUAGGCCGAACUAAUGCCUGAUAUUUAAGUAUAGGGGAGAUGUGGAGUUCUGAAGCUGAAAUUGAGAAGCCUGGAUCUGACAUGGAAUGUAAAGGAAUGACAAAACUGGAUGCCAAGAGGCAUUUUCAGCAGCAGUAUUGCCAGGACACUGAAGAAACCAGAGAGAAAAGCAGGAAAAUGGGAAAUGUCAAAAGUCUCUACCGUGGUCUCAGGAUCAGAGAGAGGAAGGAUGUUUCAGAGAACAAUCUGAAAGGGAAACGUGAGAUUUGGCAGCAGGUUAGCUAAGGAAGAAAUAGGCAGAAGAAAGUUUGAAAGAAGAGAAAAGCAUCUAACAAAGUUAUAAAUGUAUUUUUAGCUUGUUGGCUGGAAUUGAUAAGGCCCACCUUCAGUUGUACUGCUGGGACUGGAAACUGGGAGUACAGCCAGUGGUAAGAAGAGAUUUAGAUCACCUAAAGACACAUAGGACUUUCGGAAAUGUUGAGAGUAUGUGAUGUCAUUUAGAUGACAGAGACAACAGGCACAGAGCUUCCCUCAAGGCUGCAGGAGAAGGAAUUUUGUCUUUUAUCAGCUUAUUCAAUGAGAUGGAGUUGUGGAAAGAGGAGCUGCUACAUUAAAGAUUCUGUGAAGAUGAGAUUUGGAUUCUGUCAGUGUCUCCUUGGUCAUUUUGAUAAAGCUAGUUUCAGUGAAGGAAAGGGAAAGGUAUGCUGUCUAUUCAAAGGGACUAGAAUUAGUAGAGCAACAGGCAUAACUACUACACAAACCUCUGAAAUCAAAGUUUGGAGAGAGGUUCACAGGAACAGGUUUGGUAGCAAAGAUGAGAGGUGGAAAGUGAAAGAAGAGUCAGCUUGGGGAGUACUGUAGGCUGUCUCUACUGUAAGAUAAAUUCACAGCAAGCCCAGUAUGUCUAAGCAGUAUGAAUGAGCUUGUAUUUUAAUGCCCAAGAGGUGAGGGAAAAAAUAAAUUUCCUUUGGUUGAGAAGACAAAAAGUGGCUUCUUUCAUCCACCUGAGAAGGAGUAGGGCUGCAGGCACGGUAGACAAGAAGUCAGAUGCUGUGGCAUGCCAACUGCCAAGACACCUAGCAAGUCUGUCUUUCCUUGUCCUCCUGUGUUGUUUUUUUAUCACCCUGCUGGUCUGCAAGGUUAUAUGCUGCUUCUUUUUUUCCCCCAUCCUGAUUACUGCUUGCUUUGCUAAUAAGGGAAUAAUGAUGAGGAAGUAUGUCAUACAAAUUGUUAGACAAAGAUAAGGAUGGCUACAGGGAUAGCGCCAACUGAGAAGGCAGCAACAGUGAAAUUGACUGUUUUUAGUAAUCACAUGAGAAGAAAUACAUGCUUUUGUUUUCAGAGUAAACAUUUUACUGUCUAGAUGGAAAAGUCCAGCAGCCAAAGUUGUUAUUACAAGCUGAUUUAAAGACACAGGUGAGGAAGUACUUGAAGAUAUUUGUUUGCUUCGUGUUGGCUUUAUAAGAUGUGGCUUACUGGUUUCUGAAGGCUUGAAAAUGUCUUGCAGUUUUUCAUGUUGACUGGUAAAUCCUUUUGUGCCUAGAGUGCCAUCCCCUCAUAGAGUCACUGUUCAUAAUACUGAACUAUGACUGUAUAUGAGAAGGAUGGUUGUACAAUCAGAGGGUCUGAAAAACUGCUAUGUCUGUUGUUCUUAAUACUCUUAAGGCUUUAUAAUGCACUGUAUUUUCUGAACUGAUGCAAGAACAAGCCUUUGAUGAUAGAAAAACUGAAGUUUAUAGUACAGAAGGAAGUGUGAAUUGAUUUUGCCAAUUUGGGAAAUGAAAUAGGUAGUACAGAAGUUCUUAGACCCACUUUCCCAGUUGAAAAGCACUUAGGUAAAACUGGACAAAAAGCCAGAGGAGAACUAAGUGAAAUUUCACACUCAGUGAGAUGCCUCACGUCUGAGCAACCAGCCAGACCUUAGUGUUUUAAUAUCCCUAAUCUAUUCUGUGCUUUAAUGAGAUCUUGAGCUAUUGGCUCUGAAGAUUAUUAGUGCCCUGGUGAAUAGCCAUUCAAUCUUCAGGCAUGUGAUGAGAAUUUGCUUCCUCUUUCAAUCCUUCAGCUUCUUGGCUAGAAUUUAUUAUUUCCCUAAAUAAAAGCAGCUGCAAAAUUUCAUUAGGUGUUAUAGUACCCCUUUCUGCUGUAUUUAACCUUGUCUCAUUAAAUAGAUUACAUCCUUGCCUCUUGUAAUUAAGUGCAAAUCAAACACAAUAUUUUAAUAUUAUAUUAAAAAUGUAAGAAAUAGGACGCCUUUUCAGCUGCCAUUCUGAAAUUCCUGAAGGCAGGAGUGCUACUUUGACAGUGACAAAUUCUUCCAGAAACAUCUGGUCUAUAAAGUACAUUUUCUCCUUAUAGAUCUGAUAGUAAAAUCAUAAAUACCAAAGACAAAGUGUUCUGUUCUGUCACACUUGAAUUCCAUUUAAAGAGAGUUCUUUAUCUAUUUCAUCUGUUCAGUAUCUGAGUGAUUUAACUACCUGCAAAGGCUUCUGUUGAGUAUGGGUUUUCUGGACACCAGCGAUCUUAAAUAUUAGAAGAGCUCAGGCUGUAGAGAAAAAAAAAAAAACAUGAAUCUAAUAAUGGGUUGUGUAUUAAUUCAGCAAGCCUUUGGUUUUAUUUAAUAAGCAAAGAAAAAUUAUACUUCCACAAUCUACUGAGAGUCCAGUCAAACUAUGUGAUAAAUACUGACAAGAAAAAAUUAUCUUGCAUGUUCUAAAGUUGGGUCAAGAGAAGCACUAUGAACCCACACCUUCCUUAUGUGAACUUGCUAAGUCCCACGUCUAAAUUUCAUCCAUUUAACAUUUGUCACAUGACUGGGGUCCUUCAGUUAAGUUCUUUGCAGAAAUAAAAGAGGAAUUGUCUGUUUGAGGGCUUUGAUGUUGCAUCUCUCUUGAAAGCACCUUUCUCCCUGUGCUGACUGUAAGGUUGUGCAGGGCAGCAAUGCUGAUCUGAAGUUGGAGAUGUAAGUUCAGUGGUAUUCUUUGUGCUCAAUGUAACCAAAAUGCACUGUGUGUCUCCAUCCUAUACCUUUGGAGUUAAGCAUUAGGUAAAUAUAGAGCAUUUCCCCAAGUUUGUUUCAGGUAUGAACUAUGUGUAUGCUAUUAGCUAUCUCUGUAUCCAGGAGAGAUUUAUGUUGAUAAUAUUAUCAUUAACUCUAAUUUGAUUUCAAACUGAGUCACUGAUUACAUGGUUUCUAAGUCUCAGAUUCUGCUUCCUUGGGGAAGCAGAGGUGAGAAAGUUUGCAUGCUAUUGCAUAUAUAAUUAAAAACCACUUCCCAUUAUGCAUAUAUGCUGUCCCUGCCCUGCUAUACUGUCCUUUGCUCCUUUGCACCUUUUCCAUCCUAGCUGGUAGUGAUGCAGCAGCAGUCAGUCCGUUCUGUUACGUGUGCCUGAGUCGGGCUGCAGCCUUUUCUUAACAAGAGCCAAGGGCAGGUAUCAUGCUGCUCUGAUUUACCUGCAUGGCUGCGUUAGACCCAGUCAUUUCAAAGUUCUUAAUGAUGGCAAUUUAUCAAACAAGCCUUAAAAUAAUAGGCACCGUUUCCAAAAUGCCAUGGCAUUAGCAACCCACUCUUUAUGGAGUGGCAUAAUGUUUUCUUAAAAAAUAUGUAAUGAACAAAUAAAUAACAACAACAACAAAAAACCUCAAAAAGAAAUAAGAAAAACACCUCCCCCACCCCAUGUUUGGAACAAGCUCGAUACGUGGUAUGUUUUCACAUUGUUUAGUACAGUCUGAAAAUUGCCUAAGUGCACAAAAUGGGUCACCCUGAUUAUGUUUUGAGGCUGUGAAUUCUUGCAAGAAGUUGUUAAUGCACGAGCAGUCCUGCUCAGCAGAGUACGUUACAGCAGGAGCACGGCUACAGCUUACUGUGGGAGGUGGGAAGUGGCUCAGUUUGAGAUCGGAUGAGAACAGCCAACUAUUUCACCUGAAAAGAUCUCUCUCUAGAGGAAGGUCAGGCUAAUUCUGCUAGAAUUGUGCAAACCAGUAAUUUGAAGUGCUCCUUGCAGUGAAUCGAUGGAUGUGCAUUACUUUGUUGAAGUGUGCAUUAAUGUUUGUAGGUAUUAACACUUAAAAUACAUUCCUUGCUCUCUCUUAGUUGAUAAUGUCAUCUCUGGAAGUGUUUAGCAAAUUAUAAAAUGUAAUCGAUACGUAUAUUUGUGUGUGCAUGGCUUAUAUUUGUCUCUUUUUGAGAGGGCAAGCCUUAGGCUGAAGUGCUUGCUAUUUUGCAAAGCCUUGAGGACUGUACUGACCUGGUAAGUCAGAAGUUGUUCCAUCUUCUGUUUUGACAGUAGGAAUAGGAAGAGAAUUGCUUUCCCUACAGUGCCAAAGUGAGAAGGAACUUAACACUGAUCUGUGAGCUUUUUAGCUCUGUAGGCUGUGUCAGUGUAGGAAAUUGUAUGGAUGAGUGGAUGCGGAUCUACAGAAACAAGCAGGUGUUGGUGCAGGCUCAAGGUACUCAGUAUAUAUGCAUUCAGGAGGGAUGAGGGAUUUAACGAUGAUCUGAUCACUUAGGAUCUUAUUUUGUGAACUGAAUGCUUAUUUACGGUUGAAGUGCACUUCCUAUUUAGUUUCAUCUGAAAGGAGUCUAGGUAGUGCACGCCAGAAGUAAUCCACCAUAUGAGCCAAAGCAGGUGAGUGGGGACAAUCAGGAGGUGUACUUCUAAUAAAUGGGUAAAUGGGUUUAUUUCUUAGGAAAUGUCUUGGCUCUACUGUUAUUGCUCUAGCACGAUUAAGGUCUUGGCUACUGAAGUAUAUUGGUGGAAUGUGAGAAGCAAUCAAAACCAAUUCAGCAUCCUGGUAGUUUUGCUAUGGCUCAACAGGAGCUGGAUCUGAGAAUGAGUGAGAGAAGCAGUCAGUCUCUAUUGUUCGGCCUCUGUGAGUAAAAACAUAACAAUUAGAAACUGGAAAAGGAGUUAAUGCCAGGCUUGCGCUGGUAAUGAUUGACUUUUCCAUUCAUGUGGCUGCAUAUACAAGGCCAUCAAGAGAUGAGAAAUAAUGAUUGUAUUUACCAUGCUCAGUGUGUUUCUGUGAGCUCUGUACUUACUGUUGCUGCACUAAUGUGGCUAUUUCAGGACUACUGGUUUGUAAAAUAAGAUACUUCAUUUUUACCAUCACUCAUAUAAGCUUGGCAUUCUACUGGCAUUGCAUUAAGGAUAUAAAUUCAUCUUCUGAAAAAACAAACAUUGAUAGUAUAAGAAAUUGGAAAUUGCUAAUAUUAACUUCAAAUGAUAAGGUGUCAGCUAUUACAAAUCCGACGGAGCACAGUGUAAUUUGGAAACAAAAGAGACAGCUAAAAGUAAGAAUAUAUGUUUUCAACAAACCGUGUGGCCAUGCUGUACCUUCAGCACAAUAUAAUCUCAUGGAUUAGAGAAACUUCUACUUAACCCUGCAGUAUCAGGGUUCAUGUUGCUCAUCUGUCCACUUGCUGCUUGCAGAAUGGAGCUCAUCACUAGCUGUCACAGGAAGCUUAGUCAGCUCUGUUAAAUAUAUAGGAUGUCUGAUUUUCAGCUGUAUGAUGAAGCUUAACAUCUAAUCUUAAUGUUGGGUACAGUCAGUUGUAAAGGAAAAAGCUGUUUGGAAAGCUCAGAACUCGUAUGGCUGAGCAGAAUUUGCUUAUAACGCCGGUGAAGUAGUACAGGUCUCAUGAGCUAUGACCGCUGAGUGAGUUUAAUUUCUAUGAUAUCAUAAGUGCGAUUCUCUCAUGCUUUCCAAGGCUAAGUAAGGUGUAGCUAUAAUCAAACAUGUAGCCAUUAAAGCUGCUUAGUCCUAGAGUCAGAUUCAUUUCCUGUCUUCAAGCACUAGUGGACUGUUGAAAUUUGGGAUGCAGGCCUACGAUGACACAAAAUGCGUUAUAAUAUACUUGGUGGGAACCUCUGCCAUUAUUAUUAUUUAUUUUUUAAAUGUCAGUUGUCAAACUGGAAACGUUUUUCAGGGAAAAAAAAAACAAAAAACCCAAAACAUUUUACUGAGGAUUUCACAUGCACAGUUUUGGAAUUAUAAUGACCAUCCAGAAGGAAUUUAAUUGGUGAUGAAAUUCAAACUUAGUGCAAGUCAUUUUUUUUUUUUUAAUGGAGAAAAAAAAAAAGUCUUGUAUUUAAUCUGGAAUAGAAAUACUUUUGAGAUCUCAAAAAUAUUGGCAUCUUUUUUCCUGUGCAGGCUACUGAGAACUGGGCUUAGUCCAGAAAACCAGUGGCAAUGGCUUGGAAAUGCACGGAAGCACAUAAUCUUGCAAAUCAAGCUGCUAAUGGAAACUGGGGUGCCAUCCAAGGUAGAUCCUCAGUCACUGGUGCUUUUGUCCUAAACUGGUUAUUUUGGAUUGCAAAUGUGAGGCAGUGAUCAGCUGGUUUUCUGUCAUCACCUGAAGGAGCCACUCUGUGGAUGCUGAAGUGCACUCAGAACACAGGAGAACAGUCACCACGAGUUACAGGGAGACCUCAGAUCAGUGUCCUGCUCAGGAAGAAAAGAAAGAGGUUCUGAUCAGAGGAAGUUGACAGCUUGUCCUUAAAAUUAGACAUGCCCUUGAGGAAACCACACAGAGAUCACAGUUUUCAUCAGCUCCAGAGAUGUAGUAGUUGCUAGAGGGGUCAUUUACUUAAGUGGUUGGUACUUUCUGGAGUAUAUAUAAAGAAAAGAAAGUAAGCUAUUACAUUAAAUAGCUCUUAAGUAGGAUGGAACAAUGAGGUUGGUGAAAAGUAGUGUUUAUAAAUGUUACUGAAGAAAAAAUAAUCAGCAGAUGAAGAAGUACAGUUAUUAACACAAACGAUUUCCAUGCAUGGAUUUGGAAAGCUCUUAGGCCAAACAAACGAUUUAGGUAAUGCCAGUAGAGAUGGAUGGCUGUUCCUACUGAGCACAGAAUUAAGAGAAAAAGAAAGCUGGUGACAUCAGUAUCAUCUGAUUGAAGGUGAACCUAAGCUAAAGAAAUCUGGAAGUGUGUUCAGCCCAGAGCACAACCUGGCAUUACACAAAGCUGUGUGCUGGAGAGGUUAGGGAAGCCGGACAGCUGAUAUCCAUCAAGGAGAGAGAGCUCUUUCUGUGGUGGGCUGGCUAAUUGUUUGUUUAGGCAUUCAGCUGGGUUGCAGAAGACUUGUGUUUGGUUUCAGGUUUGUUUAAAACACCCUAUGCUCCCUGGACCGUUAAUUAUUUGACCUCUGUUGUGGUUCCUAUGUAAGAUGUUGGUAUAAUAGUUCUUUUCGUUGAGGAUAUAUGCUGGUAACCAACCGAAAAGGUCACUGCCCAGGUGCUGUAACUCUGUGUUCCACCCUAUAAAAGACAGAGAAACCAGAAUGGGUGUUUUCUUUCUGUAAGCUUCACUAAUGAAAUCUAUUCUCACUGGAGCUCAUUGAUCAGCGUUGUUUGAUGGAUGGUUAUUUGCUUGAUCUAAUGUUUACUGAAGUCAGCAGAAAUCUUUCACUGGACAUUUAAUUUUUAUUUUUUUUCCUGUCUUGCUGCUGUGCUUUAUGGCCAAUGAACCGGCGGAGGAAAAAUGCUCAGGAAUAAAAGCCCUUGGGAUGAGUAUGAAGGAACAGAGAUCUUCAGGGUUAUACAGUUUGUAGCUUUAAAGUAAUGAUAACUUCUUUCAGUUUCAGUUGGAAGACCCCAGAGGCCAAGAUUAACCUUAAUACAACACGUAGGUAAAGAGCAGGAGGUGGAGGAGCACGUGGUACAACAAAGGGUCAUGUUUGGAAGAUGGAGGGAAGGGGGAGCAAACCAAAUAAUUGGUUAUUAUUAGCAACUAAUUACUGUAGAUACUAUGAAUCUUGUGAGAAGCAGUACUGAAAUAGCCGCUGUGGUUUUUAUUUGGAUUAAGCUGUAUUUCAGUCUCAAACUUGUGAAGCUGCAGACACAUAACAUAUGCUGAAGCACAGGUUUAGCUUCUUUAAGAAAUAGAGGUUACAGGUGCAUGUGAUUGUACAUGUACAGCAAAUUCUUUUGUUUUCAAGAAAAUCUUUUAAUUUGAGCUUGAAACUGGAUCCUGCUGGCCUUAUUUUAGACUAGAAGUCUAAAGACUGGAUAAAGAUAGCCUUGCUUUAGUGCAGCAGCAGCAGAUGAAUCUCUGACUUCUCACAAGGUGGUGAUAGCAGUGUGGGUUCUUUGCAAUGCCUAUACUGGAAAAUACUUUCACCAAGGCAGAAUCAGACAGUAAUGAAUUAAUUCCAUUGUGUAGUUCAUCUACUUUGCUUGAUGUGGAUGGUUCUUUUCUGGCAUUGUAUGGCAAUCAUCGUUUUGGUGUGUUUAGACUCUCAUCACAUCAAGGUCCUGAUUUAGCAAAUACCUGGAACAGAAUCUCUAAGUACUGGGAUGUUCUAUGAAAUUGAACAUGUCAUUCAAGUGCUUUAAGGAGGCUUAGUGUAAUUUACUCAUUUUGUCUUUUUGCUGAUAGUUCCUGGAGGGAUUUUUAUGCCUUUAGGACAAAUUAUCUGAUGAACCUGCAAUAAAAAGCAGGACUUAGUCCUAGAGAACAAGAUUCCAAGUGGGUCUUUAAAUUCCACAGCCAAAGCAUCUUUAUGUGGUAAGGAGCAGCACACGAGGCCUUCAGAUGAGACAUUUUCCACAGGAUGAGAAUUCAGUGAAAAUGUAUUUUGAAAAUCCUGCCCUCACUUGAUAUUUAUACUGCUAUCCAUUUGCAUGCAUUGUCUUUCGGACCAUAUAUUCUAUACCAUGUUAUUGGACAGUGAUAAAUGGCUCAACAAAGUUAAAAUUUAAUGAGAAAAGGGCAAUGAGAUGUUGUGCUUUUAUAAUGACUUAUCUGGCUUGUACAGAUAAGAUUGCGUAUGAAAUAUAAUAAUGUUAUCAAUGUAAUCUAUGUUACUUUGGACAUUACCAUACUUAUGAUUCAUUAACAGUAACUGUUUUGCUAUGUAGCUUUCUGUACUGGUUAUGUUGCUUGGCAACAUUAACUCCAAGAUAAUGAUGUCUUACUGCCUGUGAUUAAAUAAUGCUUUUUCCCCCAUAUUGUUUAUGAUAUAUCUAGCUUAUUUAUUUUCUUGUUUGCAAACUCUGUUCCUUAUUUUUCAUGCCAAAUAUAGCAAGGUAUGUAUACGUUCCUUGAAUAAUUCUGUGCUUAAAAUUCACCGCAUAUAUUCCCCUACUAAAGUGAAUGCAAAUAGCAAAAUAGUAUGAUGGAAAAAUAAAACCAGUGCACAAUAAUGCGAAGAACAUAAAAUGGUGAAGCAGUCUGUAGAACUACUGCUGAUACUGCUGAAUAAAUCCUUAAAGCCUUUUCAGCAGAAGUGCGUUGCUAAUAACCAUGGAUAAUGCCCUAGUUCUACGAUUUAAUUCUCCUCUUAAAUAAAUAAAUAGGAAGCUAUGGGGCUUGCCCAUAUGCAGUGCUAAACUUUGGAACUUGACCAAGAAAAGUGAAAUACUAUACGCUAAAGGGUAGUAAAUGUCUUCUGAUGCUAUUAGUAGAUGGAUCAAUGUAGUUUAAUAGUAUUUACAGUAGUACAUUGGACCUCCAUGUUAACAGUAUUCUGUACUAAUACCUGAAGCAUAGCACACAUUAAAAUUGAUAUCGGGUGGCUAUUGAACAUAUUUUAAAUGAUUCCGUUAAUUCCUGCAGAGCUUAUCACCAUGGUGACAGCGACAGAAAUUGAACAAACAGGAAAAAAAUUCAGAAUUGAUCCAUCCUAAAUGAGAUUCCAAUGGGAUUUAGAGUCAUGCUUAAAAACUGGGAGCCAAAUAUAAGAGUGAGCGCUCUUCAACUGAUAGUAUACCCCAUAUCUCCUCCAAGGAGGGCUUCUGUCUGCAGGUUUGGUCCCUGCAUCAUACAUUGCUUUCCAGAUGGCACCACCUAGGAAGUGAUGGUUUUGGAACAGAGGCCUAGAUAGUAAGCUGUGUGCUUCCAAUGUACUGGCAUUAAAUCAAUAAUUCUUUGUGGUUUUGUCAUCUGUAACUGAAGUGUUAAUACUGGUAUGGAUGCAGCAUGAGUGGAAAUGUGCAUGUGACAGCACCAGAAAUUACAGCCAAGUAAAUGUUAAAGGACUGGGACUUGUACCAAACACUCAGCGUGCUGCUCCCAAGGCUCUUUACUCAGGUGUAACGAUGUUGUUAAAUCCACAUGAGAACAUCAGCCCUCUACAAGACUCCACAGCACAGAGGAAGACCUAGGAGGGUGGCAGAAAGUUGCAGCAUGUCAUGCAUACCAAUCCUUUAAGGUUUUCCAACAGGACAGUGUGCCCUUCAAACCAACAAGGAAAAAUGGAGGACGCACAGAAAGCUUGGCUACAACCUACAGAGCUACUGGAGUCAGAAACAAAGCACUGACUGCCAAAACAGUGAGUGAGAAAUGCCCAGGAAGCUAUUAACAGGCAUAGAAGGCUGAGGAUCCCAUCCACUAGUCAUUAUGAAUGAAACAAAUAGAAAAUGGAGCACCUGAUUUCAUAAUGAGAUCCCCGGUGGAGUGGAGUUCACAACAGUAGUGUUGGCAGGCUCUGGACUUAAAGGUAUGCUACAUGACAAAGAGUUGUAAUGGGAAAUGAACCUUGUAUCUCUUGAGG
ensembl:lncRNA